rnacentral:misc_RNA from 1 species
AACGCACAUUGCGCCCCCUGGUAUUCCGGGGGGCAUGCCUGUCCGAGCGUCAUUACAACCCUCAAGCUCCGCUUGGUAUUGGGCCCUGCCAGCUCUGGCAGGCCCUAAAGUCAGUGGCGGCGCCGCCCGGCUCCGAGCGUAGUAAUUCUUCUCGCUCUGGAGGCCCGGGCGCGUGCUCGCCAGCAACCCCCAACUUCUUCAGGUUGACCUCGGAUCAGGUAGGGAUACCCGCUGAACUUAA